AUGGACUGGAUGAGGAACAUGAGAGUAGGGGCAGAAGCAAAGAACUGUGGUCUUUGGAGCUGGGACAGCCACUGCCCAGCUCAGCCAUCAUCUCACUAUAUGCUGGCAGGGCAUAGAGUCAACUCCGGAAGAAUGAGCCAUCAUUGGAGCUCUUCCUACCAAAUGGUCUCAGAUGGAGUGGAUUUGGGUGAACUGGUGAACUGAGGCUGACCCUUCAUAAAUCACGAGGUCUUACUAAGCACACGUCCAGUGCUAUGCUAGGUCCUUUGGCCCAGAGAGAAAACCCACAGAAGGCAUGCGUUCUAGGUAAGGAGUCAAAACAAAAUGCUUGAAUUUGGAUUGAGCAACAUUAAACUAUUAGACAUGUUUAUAAACAAGAAUAGUUCUGUACAUUAUUCAUCCAACAUUUGAAUAUUAAAUACCUCCUGUGUGCUAAAUUUCCUGUAUCAUGUAUUGAAAGGUGGGAUGACAUAAUAGAAUAAGCGAGGCUAUCCUGAAGUAACAACAAUCCCCAAAUUUCAGAGCUUUAACACAACAUAGGUUUAUUUCUUGCUCAGGUAACACAUCCAACAAGGGUUGUCAGGAGUUGUCUGCUCCACACAGUCAUUCAGGGACCCAAGCUGAUGGAAUCUUGCUAUGUUGUAGUGGCGCUUUCUGGGGACAUGUGGCCUCUGAGGUUUCCAAAGAAGGGAAGAGUAGGAUGGAUGAGGCACACUGGUUUUCAACCCUCAGCCCAGAAGUGACAUCUGCCACUUCUGCUUAUAGUCUGUUGAACUAAACCAGUCAUAUGACCCCAAGGUCAUGAGUGGGAGGCUGUAAAUUUGGACACUUGAAAUAUUUGAUGAGCACUAACAGUUUCUGCUACAAGUGGGGAGUGGAUAAAAAUAGAUAUAGCCCUACUCUCAAUGACUGUGCAAAACUAUGGUUACAAAACAGAUGGUGUUAUGCAUCAUCAGAGUGAUAGAGAUAAAGUGCUGAAGAAGUCUAGGAACUGGAUGGAAAUGCAGGGCUGAUUCCAGGAUAGGAUUUUGGAGAACAUGGUAUUAGAGUGGGGCUUACGGACUAGAAGGUUUGAUAGACCUUAUGAGCAAUGGAUGUUGGUGGAAAAGCCAAGCAGAAUAUUGAGUAGUUUGCUGGAGGGCAGGAUCUGUGAUGAAGAAAAAUAAUAUUAAUGACAAUGGUAGUCCCAAUGACAUUUUUCAUGGAAAUAGAACAAAGAAUCCUAAAAUUUAUGUGGAACAACAAAAGACCGUGAACAGCAAAAGCAGAGAAAAAAAAACAAAGCUGGAAGUAUCACACUCCCUGAUUUCAAAAUAUACUACAAAGCUAUAGUGAUCAAAAUAGCAUGGUACUGGCACAAAAACAGAUGCACAGAUCAAUGGAACAGAAUAGGAAGCCCUUGGGGCUGGCCCAGUUGUGCAGUGGUUAAGUGCACAUGUUCCGCUUCUGCAGCCUGAGUUCACUGGUUCGGAUCCUGGGUGCAGACGUGGCACCACUUGGCAAGCCACGCUGUGGUAGGCAUCCCACAUAUAAAGUAGAGGAAGAUGGGCAUGGAUGUUAGCUCAGGGCCAGUCUUCCUCAGAAAAAAGAGGAGGAUUGGCAGUGGAUAUUAGCUCAGAGCUAAUCUUCCUCACACACACACACACAAAGAAUAGAGAGCCCAUAAAUAAACCCACACAUCUAUGGACA
rnacentral:lncRNA from 1 species